rnacentral:lncRNA from 1 species
AUUUUAGAAAAAAUUAUAGAGAUAUGUAUGUUGGAAAUGAUCUUAUAAAACUUAUUAUAGGUAGUCGUAGAAGUUAGACAGCGCAUUUCAGUUUUCCAUUUGUGCAAAGUUAUUCGAUUGAUGAAUUCACCAAAGUACAGAUGAACAUCAUAUUACUAAUACUAACCAAAAAAAAAUACUAACAAAAUAUAGAUUAAAAAACAAUAGAUCAACGUUAAACCGAAUCAUAAAUUAUUCAAAAUAAAGUUCUUGUUUUGUUAUUUUACUUUUUUCCCUCU